rnacentral:rRNA from 1 species
UACGUAGGCAGCGAGCGUUGUUCGGAGUUACUGGGCGUAAAGGGUGUGUAGGCGGUUGUUUAAGUUUGGUGUGAAAUCUCCCGGCUCAACUGGGAGGGUGCGCCGAAUACUGAAUGACUUGGAGUGCGGGAGAGGUGAGUGGAAUUCCUGGUGUAGCGGUGAAAUGCGUAGAUAUCAGGAGGAACACCGGUGGUGUAGACGGCUCACUGGACCGUAACUGACGCUGAGACACGAAAGCGUGGGUAGCAAACGGG